rnacentral:misc_RNA from 1 species
UCCGGGUCCUCGAACAGCUGCAGGAGAUUAUUUAUCGAUUGGAGUGAAAGCUAGCCGCCAAUUUGAGAAUCGUAAAAUGUAGUCCUGGUAUUAAUAGAUACUACGAGUAAGGGGAUACGUUUUUUUUAGGUUGGGUCUGAUUUUAAGGUAAAGAUGAACACAGUUAUUUGAAUUUAAUAGAACGAUGUUCCAAGUUUUUAACGACUCAAGUGUGUUAAUACUAUUAGUAUUACUAGUAGUACUAGGCUAUUCUCACGCCCACUGACUGUGUUUUGAUGAUGAAGAAGACUACGAGUUAAGCUUAAAGCACGAGUUAACGUGACGGUGUAGCCACGUAACCCUGAACAAGACGAGAGGAAGUCCUCAAUAGCCGUGGCACUUGAAAUUCUUUUAGACAGAAUUAGAGUAAAUUAAUCUAUGAGACCUUUUAUUUCCUUUUUAUUAGCUAUAUUUUUGUGUGCCAACAAUACCAAAUGUGGGACUCGUGUAUGCCCGAUUCAGUUUUAGUUCUCAUCAGCAUCUCUACCAGCCUACCCUCAGAUUUAAAUUCUUUUAGGCAGUAUUAGAGUAAAUUAAUCUACGAGGCUUGACCUUC